rnacentral:rRNA from 1 species
GACGAACGCUGGCGGCGUGCCUAAUACAUGCAAGUAGAACGCUGAAGGAGGAGCUUGCUUCUCUGGAUGAGUUGCGAACGGGUGAGUAACGCGUAGGUAACCUGCCUGGUAGCGGGGGAUAACUAUUGGAAACGAUAGCUAAUACCGCAUAAGAGUAGAUGUUGCAUGACAUUUGCUUAAAAGGUGCAAUUGCAUCACUACCAGAUGGACCUGCGUUGUAUUAGCUAGUUGGUGGGGUAACGGCUCACCAAGGCGACGAUACAUAGCCGACCUGAGAGGGGGAGCGGCCACACUGGGACUGAGACACGGCCCAGACUCCUACGGGAGGCAGCAGUAGGGAAUCUUCGGCAAUGGACGGAAGUCUGACCGAGCAACGCCGCGGGAGGGAAGAAGGUUGUCGGAUCGUAAAGCUCUGUUGUAAGAGAAGAACGAGUGUGAGAGUGGAAAGUUCACACUGUGACGGUAUCUUAACAGAAAGGGACGGCUAACUACGUG